rnacentral:sRNA from 1 species
CAGUUACAAGACCUAGAAGUUUCAGCUGUAGAGUAGAAAUGCUUAGGAUUUGGGAGUGAACAGACUCAGGACUAUUGAGAGAUUGAGGUCCACUUCAGCAGUUUGUCUUUAGCAUGAGAGACUCAUUCAACUUCUGUUCUUGGCAGGCAGUUAACAAGAUCAAAGAGAUUGCUGUGACCGUGAAGAAGGCAGAUAAAGUGGAGCAGAGGAAGCUGCUGGAAAAGUGUGCCAUGACCGCUCUGAGCUCCAAGCUGAUCUCCCAGCAGAAAGCUUUCUUUGCUAAGAUGGUGGUGGAUGCAGUGAUGAUGCUCGAUGAUUUGCUGCAGCUUAAAAUGAUUGGAAUCAAGAAGGUACAGGGUGGAGCCCUCGAGGAUUCUCAGCUGGUAGCUGGCGUUGCAUUCAAGAAGACUUUCUCUUACGCUGGGUUUGAAAUGCAACCCAAAAAGUACCACAAUCCCAAGAUUGCCCUUUUGAAUGUCGAGCUCGAGUUGAAAGCUGAGAAAGACAAUGCUGAGAUAAGAGUCCACACAGUUGAGGAUUAUCAGGCAAUUGUUGAUGCUGAGUGGAACAUUCUCUAUGACAAGUUAGAGAAGAUCCAUCAUUCUGG